rnacentral:rRNA from 1 species
AGUGAACGCUGGCGGUAGGCCUAACACAUGCAAGUCGAACGGCAGCACAGAGGAGCUUGCUCCUUGGGUGGCGAGUGGCGGACGGGUGAGGAAUACAUCGGAAUCUACUCUGUCGUGGGGGAUAACGUAGGGAAACUUACGCUAAUACCGCAUACGACCUACGGGUGAAAGCAGGGGAUCUUCGGACCUUGCGCGAUUGAAUGAGCCGAUGUCGGAUUAGCUAGUUGGCGGGGUAAAGGCCCACCAAGGCGACGAUCCGUAGCUGGUCUGAGAGGAUGAUCAGCCACACUGGAACUGAGACACGGUCCAGACUCCUACGGGAGGCAGCAGUGGGGAAUAUUGGACAAUGGGCGCAAGCCUGAUCCAGCCAUACCGCGUGGGUGAAGAAGGCCUUCGGGUUGUAAAGCCCUUUUGUUGGGAAAGAAAUCCAUCUGGUUAAUACCCGGAUGGGAUGACGGUACCCAAAGAAUAAGCACCGGCUAACUUCGUGCCAGCCGCCGCCGUAACAC